UACAGAGGUGGCAAGCGUUGUUCGGAAUUACUGGGCGUAAAGGGCGAGUAGGUGGCCAUCUAAGUCAGACGUGAAAUCCCCCGGCUUAACCUGGGAACUGCGUCUGAUACUGGACGGCUUGAGUAUGGGAGAGGGGUGUAGAAUUCCAGGUGUAGCGGUGAAAUGCGUAGAUAUCUGGAGGAAUACCGGUGGCGAAGGCGGCAUCCUGGACCAUUACUGACACUGAUCCGCGAAAGCUAGGGGAGCAAACGGG
rnacentral:rRNA from 1 species